AUUGAACGCUGGCGGCAGGCUUAACACAUGCAAGUCGAGCGGGGUGAUGGUGCUUGCACUAUCACUUAGCGGCGGACGGGUGAGUAAUGCUUAGGAAUCUGCCUAUUAGUGGGGGACAACAUCUCGAAAGGGAUGCUAAUACCGCAUACGUCCUACGGGAGAAAGCAGGGGAUCACUUGUGACCUUGCGCUAAUAGAUGAGCCUAAGUCGGAUUAGCUAGUUGGUGGGGUAAAGGCCUACCAAGGCGACGAUCUGUAGCGGGUCUGAGAGGAUGCUCCGCCACACUGGGACUGAGACUCGGCCCAGACUCCUACGGGAGGCAGCAGUGGGGAAUAUUGGACAAUGGGGGAACCCUGAUCCAGCCAUGCCGCGUGUGUGAAGAAGGCCUUAUGGUUGUAAAGCACUUUAAGCGAGGAGGAGGCUCUUUUGGUUAAUACCCAAGAUGAGUGGACGUUACUCGCAGAAUAAGCACCGGCUAACUCUGUGCCAGCCGCCGCAGUAA
rnacentral:rRNA from 1 species